rnacentral:tRNA from 1 species
GGAUUGUGGCUCAGUGGUAGAGCACUCACCUAGCACAUGUGAGGCCCUGAGUUCGAUCCUCAACACCA